rnacentral:lncRNA from 1 species
UAUUUAACCUGUCAUGCACUACUGAAGAAUAGUAGAUGUUGACGCGAAAUGCAGGAAUAGAAAAGCCACUAAUGGGAUGAAAAUUCGACUAUAUACGAUUAAAACCGAGCCUAACCGAUUUUACUGAUUAACCGAGACCUUGGGGAUAGGUCGAGGAUCGGCCCCAUAGUAUACCAGACCGAGAUAUGAGGAUAAAGUAUCGGGUUCGGAAUUCGAAGUACCUGUCAAGAUCGAGAUCGGUAAUGAUCGAGAUCGGUAAGGAUCAAGAUCAAACAGGAUAGACAUCGAGCAAGACCGAAGAUAGCAUAGUAACGGGCAGGCGAGAUAUCCGUGAUUAGUCGAGAAUCAUGGCAGAAAUCCCGUAACAGAUCAAAUCAAGAACGAUUAUUUAGCUAAUCAUGGAAUUUCCUUCUGUAACUAGAAUUAUACCGUAAAUAAGAUUCUUCUACUAUAUAAAGAGGGUCUUAAUCAUUUGUAAUCAUCUUACAUUCACGUAUAUCAAAGCAGUAUAUCACACUUUUAUCUCUUGCAAGUUCUACUGUCCAAUUCAUACUCUCAUUAACUAUUGUUAUGUUGGUUCGAGGGCAGUUAGCUCAAGG